rnacentral:rRNA from 1 species
CCCUUAGAUGUUCUGGGCCGCACGCGCGCUACACUGAUGCAUUCAACGAGCCUAUCCUUGACCGACAGGUCCGGGUAAUCUUUGAAUCUGCAUCGUGACGGGGAUAGAUUAUUGCAAUUAUUAAUCUUCAACGAGGAAUGCCUAGUAGGCGCAAGUCAUCAGCUCGCGCUGAUUACGUCCCUGCCCUUUGUACACACCGCCCGUCGCUACUACCGAUUGGGUGGUUUAGCGAGAGCCUUGGAUUGGAGCCCAGGUGGUCGGCAACGGCCGCUCGGGAUUCCGAGAAAUUGUUCCAGCUGACUCAUCUAGAGGAAGUAAAAGUCGUAACA